rnacentral:tRNA from 2 species
CAGUCGGUUAGAAUACCUGCCUGUCACGCAGGGGGUCGCGGGUUCGAGUCCCGUCCGUUCCGCCA